rnacentral:rRNA from 1 species
UCAUUAGUGAAGCAUGGGCAGCCAUACGGAUAUGCAAAACUGCGUGUCCCUGGCGCCUAACCCACUAUAUCCACCUAACCCCUGUGCACUGUGUGCGGAUGCGAUGAUUGUUCAUUGCGUCCGCCCAAGUAUAAACUCGUAUGGUUGUAUGUACGUGGAAAAAGUAGGACAAACCUACGAACCAAACACAACUUUCGACAACGGAUCUCUUGGUUCUCCCAUCGAUGAAGAACGCAGCGAAACGCGAUAGGUAAUGUGAAUUGCAGAAUUCCGUGAAUCAUCGAAUCUUUGAACGCAACUUGCGCUCCAUGGUAUUCCGUGGAGCAUGCCUGUUUGAGUGCCGCGAAUUCUCCCUCCCCAUGCGGUGGCCGCAAGGCCGGAGCGUGGCGGUUAGGGGUAGGAUGGGUGCCCUGCCUGGCGGCUUGGACCGCUAGGCUCGCCCGAAAUGCAUAAGCGCCAGGACCCUCGCUACUGCUCUCUAGGGAAGAGCAGCCGAGCGACCGCUGAGCAUGGCAUGAUACGUCAUUUGCUAUGUGUGGGCGGCCGGACGGAGAGGUGUCUGCUUUAUAACAGCCCUUUUUGAUUCUGGUCUCAAAUCAGGUAGGAUCACCCGCUGAACUUAA